UUAUAACGAACUCGUUUAUUAACAUAAAAAUCUUUACUGUCCACUUACCUCGGUGAGAUCCAUGAAAACAACAUAUGAAAACAAUAACCUUAUAAUAUCAUGAAAUCAUACACACUUUAUAACAUAAAAUAUAUCAUACCUUUACAUUUCAAUCAUCAGAAAACAUAUUUUCUCUUUUACCAGCCUACUAGUAUCCUUGAGGAUCCAUAGGAGAUCCCCGCUACACGUGAACCAUUAACAUUUACAACCUGAUUCUAGGGCCGUCCCCAUACCCGGUCCGGUAUAGGCGCUAAAACCAUGAAUCUCAAUACCCUGUCCAGUAUGAGGGUGAAACGGGCCGUCCUCAUACCCCGUCUGGUAUGGGCGCCAAAACACAUAAGGUCUCCAUACCCCGUCCGGUAUGAGAGACCACGUUCCCGGUAGGGUUCCCUACGGACUCGGUCUGUCCAUCUCCAGGAUAUUUAGUUAGGCUAUCCACAUUAUCCACUUAUCAAUUCACAUAACCUUUUUGCCUUUUUUCUUAAUCUCAAUCAUCAAAUCAUACACAACAUGUAAACCAGUAAUUGACACCAAAUAGGACAAUACAGUACCAGGUUCACCAUAAUACAAACCAUAAUAAAAGAAAUCAUAGUUCAUGUAUACGAGACCAUAACAUAAUUACAUCAAACAUCAUGCUGUAUUUAAUACUGGAAAUUAGACAAAACAAUAACAGACCAACACUGUAUCAGACUCGGGUUCCAUUGGCAACCUUAAUCAAUUAUACAUCUAUAAAGUCACAAAGUACAAUUUAAUUAUUUAUUUAGCUUUAAUACCGUGAUAAGAAACAGGGUGAGGGGUCCUUACUUAUUUCGGGGUCUGAAUUCAACUCUACAGUGUGCCUACAGGCUGUCCCUAAUUUCCCUGAAUUUUUUUCAAAAAACUGAAACGCACUAUCGGUACCUGCACGUGUCCCAAAAAAUUUCAAAUCAGACCUAGGGCUCCUUUCGGCCAAUAUCAGAAUUCUGGCAAGGCGCCGCCGCAAGCGGCGGCGAUUCACCUCAGGUUGGUCGUUUUCGGCCGAAUUCGACCACACUUGCAUCGGUGGACCAAAAAAUCACGAAAAACCGAUACUUACCGACGGCGAUGCUCUCGGGUGCGGCGGCUCCUCCAGCGUGAGUCGCGUUUUGAUGUUUGGCUCCAAUCAACCUGUAGAGAAAAAGAAUGGUGAUCACAGUGGUAUAAAUUUUGCAUCGAACGGAGGCUGGGAAGGGCCUCAUCGGAGGCAAAAAUAGAGGGGGGGCGCGGCGGCGCCACUGGACUUCGGCUGGGUUUUUCGGCUGUUUGGCUGGUGAUUUAGCUCUGGUUUGGCCGUAGGCGGACUCAGCAUCGAAAAACGAGCAAGGGGGAGAAAAUUUACCUCGAUCGGCGGUCGAAAACUUCCCCGGUGCGGCGGCGGGUGGCGGCGGCUGGCUCCUCCGGCAUCUGGUUCUUCUUCUCCGGCGAGGUACUGGCAGCUAGGGUUUUGUGGUUAGGUGUGGGUGGGGUUAUUUAUACCAUUUGCCUUUUAAUCUCCACCGUCCAUCAAUAUUAAAUCUGGGCCGUUUUAUCGCGAUUUAAUUGGGAUUAAAUUUGGGCCGUCCAUUGCGAUGCAAUCUGGACAGUCCAUACGCGUGAAUCUGUGCCGUCCGUGCGCGCAGGAACAGAUCUGGGCCGUCUGAUUGUGCGCACGCGGAUCGCCCACGUGGCUCGUCCCGUGUCAGCGCUUUUUUGAAACGCGGCGUGUCUUGGUUGGCCGGGGCUGUUGACGGGGCCGCUGACGUGGCUGAUGACGUGGGUGCUGACGUGGUACAAUUUUUUUAAAUUGUGUUUUGACCCCUCGUUUUCCGAUUUUCUUUUCAAAAACACCCACAUAAUCUAAAUUUUCACUCCUUUUUCCGAAAAUCAAUUUCAAUUAAAUCCAAAUAAUAUUUUUACAUAAUUUUAUCAUUAUUAUUAUUUUUAUUUUCAUUAAAUUAAAUUAAUUAAAUUAAAUUAAAAUAAAUUAAAUAAAAAUCCAAAAAAUUCAAAUACAAAAAAAAAGAAAAAUAAAAAUAAUAAGAAAAAAAUUAGAAUCACUUGAGUGUUACAACUCUUCCCCCCUUAAAGAAAUUUGGUCCCCCAAAUUUGCCUCUUACUCUUGGUCGAACAAAUGGGGAUACUGGGCUCUAAAUUCUGAUUCUAGCUCCCAGGUAGCCUCCCUGGGCGUGUGGUUCUGCCACACGACCUUUACAAAAGAUAUUUUCCGGUUGCUGAGUAUUCUGCUCUUUUGGUCCGUGAUACCGACUGGUACUUCUUCAUAAGACAAGUCCUCUUGGAGUGGAAGCAGUUCAUGAGCCAAGACAUGAGAAGGGUCCGGGUUGUACUUACGUAGCAUGGAUACGUGGAACAUGUUGUGGACUCUGGAGAGCUCUGGAGGCAGUACUAGUCUGUAGGCAGCAAUACCAAUCCUGUCUAAGAUUUCAAAUGAUCCAAUAUAUUGAGGGUUUAAUUUUCCCCUCCUGCCGAACCUACUAAUUCCCUUGAAAGGAGUGACCUUAAGAAACACCCGGUCGCCUUUCUCAAAUGCUAGGUCUCUCCUCCGGGUAUCUGCAUAACUCUUUUACCUACUCUGAGCUGUCUGAAUGUUCUUUCUGAUUUUAACUAUUUUGGAUGUGGUCUCCUCUACCAACUCUGGGCCGAACAAUCUUCUAUCGCCCACUUCCUCCCAAUAAAUCAGUGAUCUGUACGGGCGCCCAUAUAACGCCUCAUAUGGAGCCAUGCCGAUGCUUGCUUGGUAGCUGUUGUUGUAGGCAAACUCUAUCAGGGGUAGAUGGUCGUCCCAAUGGCCCCCAAAGUCCAGGACACAAGCUCAGAGCAUAUCCUCAAGCGUACGAAUUGUCUUCUUUGAUUGUCCAUUAGUCUGGGGAUGGAAGGCAGUACUAAGAGACAGCUUUGUUCCCAUAACUUGCUGGAAGCUACUCCAAAAUCGAGAAGUGAACCUAGGAUCCUUGUCGGAUACUACUGUCACUGGAACCCCAUGCAAUCUGACUAUCUCCCGGAUAUACAUCCUUGCUAACUUAUCCAAUGAAUCGGUCAUCCUGAUAGCUAGGAAGUGGGAAGACUUGGUAAGUCGGUCAACGAUUACCCAUAUGGCAUCAUGUCCUGAAUGUGUCUUGGGUAGCCCCGAUACGAAGUCCAUGGUGAUAUGUUCCCACUUCUACUCUGGUAUCGGUAAAGGCUGAAGUAACCCACCUGGGCGCUGAUGCUCUACCUUGACCUGCUGACAUACCAAGCAUUUAGAUACAAAGUCGGCUAUGUCUCUCUUCAUCCCAUGCCACCAAAACUGGGGUCGUAUGCUUUGGUAUAUUUUGAUGAGUCCUAGAUGCAUGGCAAACUUCGAACUAUGGGACUCCGUCAUGAUGUCUCUUUUUAACUCACUGUCAUCUAGGACACACACCCUGUCUUGGAAACGAAGUAAUCCAUCAGCAGAGAUUCAGAAUUCUGAGCUCCCUCCCUGUUCUGCAUCCUUCUUGCAGGCUACCAGGGUGGGGUCAACUGUCCGGGCUUCCCUUAUUCUCUGGAUUAACUCGGGCUGGACUAUCAGGUGGCCCAAACAUGUGACUCUCUUCAGAUCAUGAAGUCGAACCUGUUGCGUGGCCCCAAUUGGUCUGCAUUCUGAAACCAUCAAAUGGGCUAAGAUACCUGCACUUUUCCUGCUGAGAGCAUCUGCUACCGCGUUGCCCUUACCCGGAUGGUAUAAGAUAUCACAAUCAUAGUCCUUAAGGAGUUCCAUCCACCUUCUUUGACGCAUGUUGAGAUCCUUCUGAGUGAAUAUGUGUUUCAAACUCUUAUGAUCGGUAUAGAUCUAAAAGGUCUCUCCGUACAAAUAAUAGCGCCAGGUUUUCAAGGCGUGAAUGAUUGCGGCAAGCUUCCAAAUCAUGGGUGGGAUAGUUCUUCUCAUGAUUCUUUAACUGUCUGAACUCGUAUGCUAUAACCUUUCCAUGCUGCAUUAGGACACAACCCAGGCCCAGAUAGGAAGCAUCACUAUAAACUGUAUAUCCUCCCGAUCCACUCGGUAAAGCCAGCACGGGUGCAGUGGUCAGCUGCUUUUUUAAUUCUAAAAAACUUCUUUCGCAGUCCUCAUUCCACUCAAACUUGGAAUUCUUCUUUGUGAGUCGGGUUAGAGGAGCUGCUAGACUGGAGAAUCUUUCAACGAACCUGCGGUAAUAACCUGCAAUUCCCAGGAAGCUACAGAUUUCCUUAACUGAUGUCAGCUUCUCCCAGCCAAGUACCACUUCAACCUUUUCGGGAUUCACUGAUACCCCUUCCUUCGAUAUGAUGUGUCCUAGGAAGGCGGUCUGCUCAAGCCAGAAUCCACACUUACUCAACUUCGCAUAUAACCUCUUGUUUUUAAGGAGCUGCAAAACUUGGGCAAGAUGGUGAGCAUGUUCUUCUCUGCUUUUUGAGUAGACUAAGAUAUCAUCGAUGAACACGAUGACAAAUUGAUCCAAGAACUCUCUGAAGACCCUGUUCAUUAGAUCCAUAAAGAUUGCCGAGGCAUUGGUUAGCCCAAAUGGCAUGACCAGGAACUCAUUGUGUCCGUACCUGGUUCGGAAGGCCGUCUUGGGGAUGUCUUCUGUUCUUAUCUUCACCUGAUGGUAACCUGAUCGUAGGUCUAUUUUAGAGAAGACCUAUGCACCCUGCAGCUGAUCAAAGAGGUCAUCAAUCCGGGGAAGGGGAUACUUAUUUUUGGUCGUAACCUUGUUCAAUCCUCUGUAAUCAAUGCACAGUCUUAACGUUCCAUCUCCCUUCCUUGCAAAAGUGACUCCGGCACCCCAAGGGGACACACUGUGUCUAAUAAAACCAUUGUCUUGCAGUUAGGUGAUCUGUUUCCUCAGCUCUUCCAUCUCAAUGCGGCUCAUACGGUAAGGAGCAACCGAAAUGGGUUGGGUACCUGGCUGUAGGUCUAUAGUGAACUCGACUUCUCUGUCCUCUAGCAGACUGGGCAGUUUGUCCGGAAACACAUCUGGGAAGUCUCGGACUACCGGAAUCUCUUGAAUACAAAUUUCCUUCUUAGGCUUUCCUAGUCAGAGAAAACAGCAAGAUUAAGGCACUAGAAGUUAAGAAAACUUGCCAUCAAGGAAUAAGUACUGAAUAAUUUUAUUAAUUCGUAAAUGGCUCCUCGUUAAGAGGAUUAAAUACAACUUUCUUGUUAAAGCAAUCUAUGGUGGCGUGAUACACCGCUAGCCAAUCCAUUCCUAAGAUUACAUCAAAAUCUCCCGUGUCUAAUCCUAUCAGGUCUACACUCAGUUUCCUAUUUGCUAUCUCCACGGCACAAGCCCUAUAGAUAACUUCCCCUAGUAGUGUUUCACCCCCGGCAGUAGAUACAAACAACAAUGAAUCAAGUUUAUCAGGUGAUACAUUAAUUUUGGAAGCAAAAGCAUGUGAAACAAAAGAGUGCGAUGCGCCAGUGUCAAAUAAAACAUGAGCAAUAUGGUCACAGAUAGUAUACAUACCAUGUACUACAUCCGGGUCGGCGUCGGCAUCCUGCUGGGUAAGGUUGUAAGCUUUGCCCUAGAUAGGAGGCCUCCCUUGAUUCUGGUUCCUUGGGCAUUCUCUUGCAUAAUGCUGGGCACUGCCAUAAAUGCGACAAGUGUUGUUGAGGCAGUAGCAGGGUCGGUCACCGUGAUCUCUGCCGCAGUGCUGACAAAUCUUCCCACGUGCUGCCCCUGGAGCCUGAGGAGGGGCCUGGAUGGUUGGUCUGGGCCUCUUAUUUAGUUGGGUAGGCGCAGUAGGUGCUGGCCUGCGGAACGGAGCUGAGGGUCGGGAACUCCCUCCUGGCUGAGGACGGGUGCUGAAGCUUCUUUCCACGAUCUGUGCCUUUGCUAGGACUGCUGAAUAUGUCUUGAGCUCCGGUACUAACAAGUGUUGUCUGAUCUCUGGGUGGAAACCCCACUGGAAUCUCCUGGCCUUUCGGCUCUCAUCCAUCAAUGUCUCCGGGGAGUAUCGGCCCAGCUCUAAGAACUUACGAGCAUAUUCUGAUACUGUCAUGUUUCCCUGAACCAGUUGAGCAAACUCCGUUUCCUUUAGGUGUCGAAUGUGCUCAGGGAGAUACUCCGCAUGGAAGGCCGCUAAGAACUGCUCCCAAGUGACUGGUGUAGGCAGGGUGGUCUGCUUGAGCUCCCACCAACGUCCUGCUUCCCCUACCAACAUGUAGGAAGUAAGGGCAGCUCUCUGCUCAGGAACUACUCCCAAGGUCCUGAAAGCUCUCUCAGUCUCCGCCAACCAGUGCUGGGUCUUUUCAAAAGAGGAUCCCCCUGCAAAGGUGGAGAGGUUCAGUCUCCUGUACCUCUCUAUGUAGCUCGGGUCGAUCAAGGAAGGAGCGGGGUCCCGUGGAGGAGGGACUGGACCCAGCUAGGGAUAGACUGGGGGGUCUUGUGGUGGCACCUGCUGAUAUGCUGGGAGCACUGGGUCGUGCUGUGGCGGUGCCGGGUAGUACCGUGGCUGGAGCACCAGGUUGUACUACGGCAGUGGUGCCGGGUGAUACUGUGGAGGAGCAGGCUCGUGCCGGGGUGGCUCGGGAUCAGCCUGCUGUAGUGGAGGCUCAACCUGCGAUAGUGGAGGAGGGUCGAGUAACUCCCUUCUCUCCUCUCGCCCUUGCUAGGCAGCUAUGAAUCCUUUCAUCAUCUCAAAUAACUUGUCUACAUCCUCCCAAAGUGAAUUAUCCCAAGAUGCUCGGUUUAGUGGGGGUCUUCCUCUCCUCAUCUCUCUGCACCUGCAUUUCAUAAGGAAUAGUUGAGUAACGGUUUAUCGGUGAAUAUUUCUCUAAGCAUUAUUGUGUAAGGGAUGGGUCCGAGGAACGCAGCUCUGAUACUAACUGUAACGGUCCCGAAAAUUUAAAUGAAAUAUAUGUAUUAAAAAUAUCAAAUGCGGAAGUGUAAUAAAAAUUUUGAUUAACAUCCCUUACACAAUAACCAAAACGUACUCAAAACAUGAAAGAACAAACUAACUAAAAGAGAUACUUGAAAUAAAAACUAUAAAUAUAACUAUAAAGUCUUUAGGCGUCCCCUUCGAUGUCUUCCUGCGGAACAAGCUCGGGAACAACAUCUUCAUGAUCUGAAAUGGUUAAAUAAGGGAUGAGCUACACCAACCUAGUAAAGACAUCACACUAUCUCACCGCCACAGAAGUAAAGAUGGGUAGAAAACAAAAAUGACCAGUGGAGCAUAAUUUAUAACGAACUCGUUUAUUAACAUAAAAACCUUUACUGUCCACUUACCUCGGUGAGAUCCAUGAAAACAACAUAUGAAAACAAUAACCUUAUAAUAUCAUGAAAUCAUACACACUUUAUAACAUAACACAUAUCAUACCUUUACAUUUCAAUCAUCAAAAAAUAGAUUUCCUCUUUUACCAGCCUACUAGUAUCCCUGAGGAUCCAUAGGGGGGUCCCCGCU
rnacentral:lncRNA from 1 species